rnacentral:rRNA from 1 species
GACGAACGCUGGCGGCGUGCUUAACACAUGCAAGUCGAACGGAAAGGCCCUGCUUUUGUGUGGUGCUCGAUUGGCGAACGGGGGUGUAACACGUGAGUAACCUGCCCUUGUCUUUGUGAUAACUUCAGGAAACUGGGGCUCAUACCGCAGAGGAUCUCCUGCUGCGUGGGGGGGGUUGGAAAGAUUCGGUGGUUGGGGCAGUACUCGCGGCUUAUGAGCUUGUUGGUGGGGUUGGGACUUACAAAGGUUUCGACGGCUAGCCGGCCUGAGAGGGUGACCGGCCACAAUGGGACUGAGAUACGGACCAGACUGCAACGGGAGGCAGCAGUCGGGAAUAUGGCACAAUGGGCGGAAGCCUGAUGCAGCAACGCCGCGUGCGGGAUGACGGCCUUCGGGGGGUAAACCGCUUUCGCCUUUGACGAAGCGAGAGUGACGGUAACGGGUAAAGAAGCACCGGCUAACUACGUG